rnacentral:lncRNA from 13 species
CAGACCUGACCAGAGGUGACCCAGAAUACCAACACACAGGGGACCUCUGCACAGGUAAUACACAGACACACAAACACACAAAUCAUUAAAAAAGACACAUCACAUAUUGUGUGCAUGUGUGUCUCCAGGCUGUGGGACGGCCCUGGCCCCGGAGGACCUGCCCUAUCUGGAGAUCCUGUGUGUUUCAGACACCAUCCACUCCCUCGACACACACCACACACCCUCUGCCUCCAAUGGAUUCUCUGCAGAGCGAGAGGUGUGUGAGGGACGAGAGGCGAGGGAGGGCAGCCACAGAAAGACUCCUCAGAGCUAUGAGAAGCAGGGUUCUCUCAUCACUCUGGCCUGGAGCAAACCACCGGAUGGAGACACUGAGCAGCAGACAGGAACAGUCAUGUCUACUGCAACAGAGCAACAAGAGGAAGUGGGUGAGGUGAGUGUGCACUGUGACACACACAACACCCCCGGAUACACACCCUAUGACGCACCUGGACACAUACACUACAACGACACAACCAGAGACACAGUCCAGGUGAAGGUGUUGGACUCGUCUCUGUUCCAGUACAGCUCUGAGGUUGAACAGCUCUUACCGCCUACAGACCAGCACCCCAUCACAGGCCAGAAGGAGUUGGUGAUGGAGCAGUCAGAGAAGACAGAAACACUUUCUAAUGUGCCCACACAUACCCCUAUCACACACGCUGAGGAGCCUCCAACAUGGGGCAGAGCCCAGCAGGAGGCUGAGAAAAGGCGCGGAAGUCCACCUGUCGAUGAGGAACACACUGAUGACCUCACUGCUUUGGGAGCCAAUGGAAGUGCUUACCCGCGCUCUUUGGGAGGGGAGAGGGAGGACAUGACAGAGCUCUGGGCCCUGAGUAGACCUGCACCCCUUACAUCAGCCCAGGAGACCCUCAAUACUCCACACACUACUCUAGAGGGAGACAGAUCAAUGGAGGGAGAGAAAACAAUGGGGAGUGUGAUAGAGAGAGAGAAGACAUUGGAGCCAGUCUCUAUGAUGGAGAGAGAGAAAACGAUGCGCUGCUUGGUGGACCUGCAGAGGAAGGUGGAGCAGAAACAACAGCGAGACAGAGAGAGACAAUUACUAAGGGUCCAGGAGCGGCUGUCAAUCAUUCAGAACAAGAAGUCCCAGGAAGACCUGAUGGGCCUCAGACAGACUGACAGACUCCGACACCUCACACAUAACCUGCCCCAGGCGGAUAAGAGCCAGCAGAAGACAGUGGUCAGAGAAAGACUGGAGCAGCUGAGGAGAGAACGCUCCUAUGUCAUGCAGUCCAAACGAGACAGGAAUACAGCAGGCUUCAAGGAGCUGCUGGGUCCAGUGAGACUCCACAGUGCAGAGACAGACGACACUGCUGACUCACUCAGGCUAGCCACCAGCGCAAGCUAA